UGAGGAAUAUUGGGCAAUGCCCGCAAGGGUGACCCAGCAACGCCGCGUGGAGGAUGAAUGUCGUAAGAUUGUAAACUCCUGUUAGAGGGGAAGAAUAGUACCGGUUGGACCGGUAUAUGACUGUACCCUCAGAGAAAGCCCCGGCUAACUACGUGCCAGCAGCCGCGGUAAUACGUAGGGGGCAAGCGUUGUCCGGAUUUACUGGGUGUAAAGGGCGCGCAGGCGGGAUAAAAAGUCAGUGGUGAAAUCCUACAGCUUAACUGUAGAACUGCCUUUGAUACUUUUAUUCUUGAGUUCGGGAGAGUGAGACGGAAUUCCAGGUGUAGUGGUGAAAUACGUAGAUAUCUGGAAGAACACCAGUUGCGAAGGCGGUCUCUUGGUCCGACACUGACGCUGAGGCGCGAAAGCGUGGGGAGCAAACA
rnacentral:rRNA from 1 species